GCGCGCCGCAGCCCCGCGCGUCCGGCCGCCGCCCGCGCCCAUCCAGCAGCCUCGCCGGAGCCACACCGCGGGACAGCCGCGGCCGCGGCGCGUCCCGGCCCGGUCCAGCCCAGCCCAGCCCAGUCCCGGCACCGGGCGGCCCGGCGGCCGGCCCGCCCCCGAGGGCGCCGGGCGCGGCGGGAGGAUGCCGAAGCCGACGCUGCUGCUGCGCGGGGGCUGGGAGCGCGAGCGCAGCCCCGGGGACUCGGAGCUGGGCCGCCAGUUCCGGGACUGGUGCUUGCGCACCUACGGCGACUCGGCCAAAACCAAGACGGUGACACGCAGCAAAUACCAGCGGAUCGCCGAGGUCCUGCAGGGCGGCGGCGGGACUGGCGCGGGCAGCGGCCCCGCAGCCGGCGAGAAAGGCAAGUUCCAGUUCUGGGUGCGCUCCAAGGGCUUCCGCCUGGGCAGCGGCCGGGAACCCAAGAUGGGCCAAGUGGUGUAUGUGCCGGUCAAGACGGGCUCGCUGUGUAGUAUUCAAUUUUAUGGAUGUACCAUAAUUUACUUAUCCAGUCCCCUGUUAAUGGACAUUUGGAUUGUUUAUGAUAUUCUGCUCUCGCAAGACUUCAGUGAACAUCCUUGAAUAUAGAUGGCCAUUUCAAGCAUGGGCAAGUUUAUACCAAGGAGUUGAAUUGCUGUGUCUGAGGGCAUGUGCUUUUGGAGAUGAUACAGACUGCCCUCCACAGACAGGGAACCAAUUUUCACUCCCGGCAAUAAUGUCUAGAACGUGAGCCAUUCGUGUGAUGACCAUGGUUACUGUAUAUUGAGCAUUCACUGUAUGCUGGCACUGUGCAUCCCCUCGUAAUGACCCUGAAGAUCAGAAUUAAAAUCCCCACUUUACAGAGA
rnacentral:sRNA from 1 species